GCCUUGGUGGUGAAAUGGUAGACACGCGAGACUCAAAAUCUCGUGCUAAAGAGCGUGGAGGUUCGAGUGUUCAUCGAUCGGGUG
rnacentral:tRNA from 1 species